rnacentral:rRNA from 1 species
UACAGAGGUCUCAAGCGUUUGUUCGGAUUCAUUGGGCGUAAAGGGCGCGUAGGCGGCAAGGCAAGUCGGGUGUGAAAGCUUGGGGCUCAACCCCGAAAGGGCACUCGAAACUGCCCUGCUAGAGGGCCGGAGAGGAGAUCGGAAUUCACGGUGUAGCAGUGAAAUGCGUAGAGCUCGUGAGGAAGACCGGUGGCGAAGGCGGAUCUCUGGGACGGCCCCUGACGCUG